rnacentral:rRNA from 1 species
AGAGGCCCAAGUUGAUAAAUGCCGGCGUAAAAAGUGGCCAAUAUGACACAUCACUAAAGCCAAACAUCUUCAAAGCUGUCAUACGCACUCGAAGACAGGAAGCCCCUCCACGAAAGUGGCUUUAAAACAUAUGCCCCACGAAAGCUAGGAUACAAACUGGGAUUAGAUACCCCACUAUGCCUAGCCCUAAACACAGGUGAUAUUUUACACCUAUCGCUUGCCAGGGAACUACGAGCCCCA